rnacentral:rRNA from 1 species
GAUCCUGGCUCAGGACGAACGCUGGCGGCGCGCCUAACACAUGCAAGUCGAACGAGCAAGAGAGAGCUUGCUUUCUCGAGCGAGUGGCGAACGGGUGAGUAACGCGUGAGGAACCUGCCUCAAAGAGAGGGACAACAGUUGGAAACGACUGCUAAUACCGCAUAAGCCCACGGCUCGGCAUCGAGCAGGGGGAAAAGGAGCAAUCCGCUUUGAGAUGGCCUCGCGUCCGAUUAG